rnacentral:lncRNA from 1 species
ACUCGCAUCGAACGAUAUAUAGUUAUAUACAGAACAUACAUACACCACUUCUAUUAUAUGUAUUUAACGUGUUACACUCGUUACAGUAAACACGAUGUAUAUACAUGCAUACAUACAUCGUUAAUUAAACGAUUUGAAGACAACAUGAGAGUUACAAAGACACAAAAACAAAUCUAUGGAGUACACUUGCGAUGAAAAGGCAAAGAGAGUGAAACAAACGUUAACAGACGGCAAAGUAAAGCAAGCAGCAAGCACUUGAACAAAGUUCUGCGCGCGCCCGGAUCUCUAGUCUACUUAUGAUGACGCCGAAGAAGAAGAGGAAGAAAAGAGUGUUCAAGCUCAAGCUCAACCAUAACCGACGAUACGACCAGACCAUUUUAGACCACCGUCGCCGGCCGGGCGUCCAAGCAGCUAGCAAUGCAUGCAAGCAGGUGCUCUGUUGAAUUAACGGCCAGCGACGAGGAACCUCGCCGGCGGGCUCACCACCAACUGGUAGCCGGCCAGCUGGUGCACGUGGUGGUAGCCUCUAGUGCUGCCGGCGGCGAAGCGUCCACAGCCAGGCGACGCGCUGGGGUCGCCCAGCUCCAUCUCCCACAUGACCUCCAUGAAGUCGUCGACGGCGCAGGGCAGCUCGAGCGGGCCGUCGCAGCCGGCGAAGCCGUACUCGGCCUCGGCCGCGUCCAGCAGCGCCCGGAACAGCGGGUGGUUGGCGCAGCGGGCGCGCACCCCGAACCGCUCCUUCUCCGGGCCCACCAGAACGGUGAAGUAGCCGGCGGCUGGCACCGGCGGCGGCGGGGGCACGCCCAGGGACGGCGACGACGCCGCCCUCUUCGGUGCCGCCGGCGGUGGCGGCCUCCUCCGUUGGGCCAGCGAGGUCCGGCACCUCUGCAGCGUCUUGGACAGGAUGUUCUUCUUCUCGCCUCCUUCCUUCAUUGAUGUUACGAUUACGAACGAACUUACGACAGUAAUUAAACGGCGUAGUAACUGAGCCGCAAACAAGCUAAGCUAGCACAACUGCACAAGGCAAACACUAUCAACCCAGUAGGUUUUUCUGUUCAACAAGCUAACGACCACAGCAGAUCAAAAGACUAUCAACCCGGCCUAUUAGCUAGCCGCGGUCGUAGGCCUGGUGCAGGCGAGACAUGUCCACGGUGGCCUUGGGCGCGAGGAGGCUGUGCUUCUUGGUGCUAUUGCUGGUGUUAUUCAUGGCUCUUGGAGGACGGCUGGAGGCAUAUUCUGCGGCUACAGGUUCAGCGUGCAGGAGGCAGGAGCAGGCGCUGGACUCGACGAUGGAUUGACCGGUCGGGCCGGAGGACGAAGCUAAGCCAAAAUAUAUAGAAGGAGCUGAGCUGAGCUGAAUUGAAAGAACGCAGAGCAGCAGCUAGCUAGCCGAGAGAGAGUGCGUGUACGUGCAGCAGAGGCACACUAGCUAGAGACAAAGAAGGGUUUGGCUUCCUCGUGGUCGAGGAGGAGAUGGGAUCAGGAGAGCUAGAGCCGAUCGAUCGAGGAGGAAGAAGGGUUAUGCGGCCGCCUGCGAUCGGAACGAUGACAAACACUCAACCACCCGCGCAAAUGAAUUGAAGGCUUAUGCGGCCGGGGCCAUGCCUCUCCGACUAGACGGCGACCUUUUAACAUCAUAU